GGCAGCUCAUUCUGCCUUGCUCCCUCGGUUGCAUCGGGCUUCUGAUGACCUGGGCCCACCCUGCCACUAUCCUCAUCAGGGGAGAGAUGAAGCCCCAAAGGAGGGAUGCUAUGCCCCUUGUGCACCCCACUGCCUGCUGCUGGGCUGCGGGAGUAUCCAGGAGCUGAGCUUCCGUGAGGGGGAGCAUUUUAAAACCCUGUCUCUGGUCCCACUCCAACCUUGCUACGCCACUGCUUCUUGGACAAUGUUUAGCCAGUACAAUGACCUCGCUUCUUGACAAUCUAGUAAAAGAGCCAGCUGUUGAAGACAAUGACAACAGAAAACAUUUCCACCCAGCUGUGCUCUGAUCUCUUCCACCUGCUGACCAAGCCAGCAUCACAGUCAGCCUCCUGAACCCUCGAUGCCUGCUCUAGACCCUCUGUGCCUGCUGUGGUGCUGAGUUUCAUUGACCUAGCUCGGCUACUGCUGCAUCAUUCCCCAUGCAGUUGAUGGGUGGCUGCUUCUGUUCCUGCCAGUGUUUUAUAGGGUUGCAUCAGAUGGUUGGGUAAAAUCCACACUGGCAGCCCUGACCUCCAACAUCGUCUAAAUUGAGGAAUAAGCCUGCAUACAAGAAAUAAACUGCCUAAUAGAUGCUGACAGAAACAACCAAGUCAGAAACAACCAAGUCAGUCUUUGCUUGUCCUUGGGAUGCUGAUUCUUUUCACUCCCAACCUGUAUCCAUGAUCUGCUUUGUAUAUUUAGAUGCCACCUCUUCCUUCAAAUCUACAGAUUAACUUCCACAGUAGUAUAAGUGCCCUUCACAGUAGUAUAAGCACUUAUUUGUGCCCUUCAGUAGUAGAAUUGCAAUUCUUAUGCCACAAAACCAGUUCUGAUACACUUUCCAGAAAAAGAUGUAUUCCUUUACUUGCUCUGCUCAGUGACCUUUCUGGGCCAAGAAUACUGCUAAGAUUCUGUGGACAACAGAGGUUAAGAAAUUGUUUUGAACAUGUGAAGCUUCAUUGGUCUAUGUAUCCCAGGACUGCCUACUCUACUGGCAGCUCCUCUUCAAGCCCUCAGGCAGAUGUCAUUUCCAGUGCUGCUACCUGAGAUACUUCAACUGGGUGCUGCGAAUUGAACCCGGGACUUUCUGAAUAUGGAAAGAAUAUGCUCUACUAUUGAGGCAACUUGUCUUAUGGUGCCAGAGGCAGAGCUGUCUCUCAUAUUUGAGGUCCUGUGAGUGCCUGUCACAAUCCCCACUGCUCAUGUGGAUUAGCCCACACAGCCCUUCCACAUCUUAGGAAAUUGAAUUUAAAGUGACCUAUUGCAGAAGUUUGGUCCUGGAGAAGACUUUUGAGGAUACCAUGGAUAGCCAGGAAAACAAACAAAUGGAUCAUAGAACAAAUCAAUCCAGAAUUUUCACUUGAGGCACAAAUGACCCGGCUCAAACUAUCAUACCAGACACAUCAUGCGAAAAUCCAGCUCCCUUGAUAAGUCAAUAAUGCUGGGAAAAGUUGAAGGCAAGAAAAGAAGACGACAACCAGCAGCAAGGUGGAUGGACUUGAUUAUGACAACAAGGGAUGCACCACUGAGAGACCUUAAAGGCCAAGUUGAAGAUAGAUCAUCCUGGAGAGAAUCUGUCUAUGUGGUCGCUAAUUGUCAACACCGACUUGACGGCGCUUAAUCGAUCAAUCAAUUGCAGAAGCCCCUUGGGACAGAGAACUGACUGUUGUUUGUUUUUUUAAAAGUCAAUAACCAAAUACAAAUGAUGGCAUUCAAACGUUGAGAAGGGUCCUAAUCUUUUACUGUAGCUUUGAAUGUUUUUAUUAUUUUUGAGACAUCCAUAUGAUGUACUGUAUGUUUCAGAAAUGAAACCACUGUUUAUUCAGAGGCAGCCAAAAACUGUAUACAAAAAACACCUUGCUAA